GCUGACGUAGCUCAAUUGGCAGAGCAGCUGAUUUGUAAUCAGCAGGUUGGGAGUUCGAUUCUCCCCGUCAGCU
rnacentral:tRNA from 3 species